rnacentral:lncRNA from 1 species
UAUGACCACCAUGUUCUGAAGGAUGCCCACAAAGCUGAGGGAAAGGGGAGCCCAUUCAAGUUAAGGAGACGCCAAUCAGGCGAAUGGGAUGGGGCUUGACAAGAUUCUCAGAACGUGGUUGAAGGGUCUGCAAGACCCUUGAGUCUUAUUGAUGAAAGAAUAAAAUCCAUGGGACCUUAACUGGAGGGCCCAAACGUCACUAUAUCCAUGAAAACCGAGCCUUCCACGGAUCUUGGAGAGAAGUGAUUCAGGUGAUAAUCGUGUGAAAUCAACGUGAAUGAUUUCCCUAACGGCUCUACUGUCCCCUGUGCAAAUCAUGGCUUUUCGUUUUUGUGCCACAUCUACCAAAUAUUUGGGGAUGGAGUGAGAGUCAAGUGGUGGCGGAGAGGAUGGGGGAAGAGCCUUUCUAAUAUCUCGGAAGAAGAAAAUAGUUUUUGCACAAAAUGCAUGUGCGUGAAAAC